ACCAAGCUUCCAGGAAAAGCCACUAAGCUUCAAUCUAGAGUUGACCGUACCGCAAACCGACACAGGUGGGCAGGAUGAAAAUUCUAAGGCGCUUGAGAGAACUCAGGAGAAGGAACUCGGCAAAUUAACACCGUAACUUCGGGAGAAGGUGUGCCCCGGUAGCGUGUAGAGACUUGCUCUCGAAGCGCGAUGGGGUUGCAGUGAAAUGGUGGCUGCGACUGUUUAAUAAAAACACAGCACUCUGCAAACACGAAAGUGGACGUAUAGGGUGUGACGCCUGCCCGGUGCCGGAAGGUUAAGUGAUGGGGUGCAAGCUCUUGAUCGAAGCCCCGGUAAACGGCGGCCGUAACUAUAACGGUCCUAAGGUAGUGAAAUUCCUUGUCGGGUAAGUUCCGACCUGCACGAAUGGCGUAACGAUGGCCACACUGUCUCCUCCUGGGACUCAGCGAAGUUGAAAUGUUUGUGAAGAUGCAAUCUACCCGCGGCUAGACGGAAAGACCCCAUGAACCUUUACUGUAGCUUUGCAUUGGACUUUGAACCGGUUUGUGUAGGAUAGGUGGGAGACUGUGAAGCCGGGACGCUAGUUUCGGUGGAGUCAACCUUGAAAUACCACCCUGAUUUGUUUGAGGUUCUAACCUUGGUCCGUGAAUCCGGAUCGGGGACCGUGCAUGGUAGGCAGUUUGACUGGGGCGGUCUCCUCCCAAAAGGUAACGGAGGAGUACGAAGGUACGCUUAGGGCGGUCGGACAUCGCCCACAAAGUGCAAUGGCAAAAGCGUGCUUGACUGCGAGACCCACAAGUCGAGCAGGUACGAAAGUAGGUCAUAGUGAUCCGGUGGUUCUGUAUGGAAGGGCCAUCGCUCAACGGAUAAAAGGUACUCUGGGGAUAACAGGCUAAUUCCUCCCAAGAGUUCAUAUCGACGGGGGAGUUUGGCACCUCGAUGUCGGCUCAUCACAUCCUGGGGCUGUAGUCGGUCCCAAGGGUAUGGCUGUUCGCCAUUUAAAGUGGUACGCGAGCUGGGUUUAAAACGUCGUGAGACAGUUUGGUCCCUAUCUGCCGUGGGCGCUGGAAAUUUGAAGGGGGCCGCUCCUAGUACGAGAGGACCGGAGUGGACGAACCUCUGGUGUACCGGUUAUGACGCCAGUCGUAUCGCCGGGUAGCUAAGUUCGGAAGAGAUAAACGCUGAAAGCAUCUAAGCGUGAAACUCGCCUUAAGAUAAGAUUUCCCGGAGUCUUGAACUCCCUGAAGGGUCGUCGAAGACCACGACGUUGAUAGGUCAGGUGUGGAAGCGCAGCAAUGCGUUAAGCUAACUGAUACUAAUUGCCCGUGCGGCUUGAUCC
rnacentral:rRNA from 1 species